UUGAAAGGGAAACGAUUGAAGUCAGUCGUACCUAUGGGUAAUCAGCCUUUUGGGUGUGAUUUUGUGGAGCGUGGAGAGUUAAACGCCUUCAUGCCUGCAUAUUCGUGCACUUUGGGUGUACUUGCCCGUGUGUAAGUUAACAUCAAUUUUGGUGGUCAUAAAAUGGCUGGAGGAAUGUAGCUUCGAUCUUGUAUUGAAGUGUUAUAGCCUUCGGUAGAUGUGACGAUCGGGAUUGAGGAUUGCAACGGAUACCCUUCGGGGCUACCUAUCUGAUCUCUGAUCGUUGCUCUGGUGCCGAAAGCUUGCUUACGGUUAUCAAAGUCGAUGGUCAAUAGGUUAGAAUGGGUUAAAUUCGUUAAGGAUGUUGACGUA
rnacentral:rRNA from 1 species